UCCUACGGGAGGCAGCAGUGGGGAAUUUUCCGCAAUGGGCGCAAGCCUGACGGAGCAACGCCGCGUGAGGGAUGAAGGCCUCUGGGCUGUAAACCUCUUUUAUCAAGGAAGAAAAUCUGACGGUACUUGAUGAAUAAGCCACGGCUAAUUCCGUGCCAGCAGCCGCGGUAAUA
rnacentral:rRNA from 1 species